CCUACGGGAGGCAGCAGUGAGGAAUAUUGGUCAAUGGGCGGGAGCCUGAACCAGCCAAGCCGCGUGAGGGAAGAAGGUACAGCGUAUCGUAAACCUCUUUUGUCAGGGAACAAAGGCGGGGACUAGUCCCCUGAUGAGGGUACCUUAAGAACAAGCAUCGGCUAACUCCGUGCCAGCAGCCGCGGUAAUACGGAGGAUGCGAGCGUUCUCCGGAUUUAUUGGGUUUGAAGGGUGCGCAGGCGGCCUGUUAAGUCAGCGGUAAAAGCCCGGGGCUCAACCCCGGCGAGCCGUUGAAACUGGGGGGCUGGAGUGGGAGAGAAGUACGCGGAAUGCGCGGUGUAGCGGUGAAAUGCUUAGAUAUCGCGCAGAACCCCGAUUGCGAAGGCAGCGUACCGGCUCCAAACUGACGCUGAGGCACGAAAGCGUGGGUAUCGAACAGGAUUAGAUACCCUAGUAGUC
rnacentral:rRNA from 1 species